UUGAUCCUGGCUCAGAAUGAACGCUGGCGGCGUGCUUAACACAUGCAAGUCGAACGAGAAAUCUUUAGCUUGCUAGAGAAAGUAAAGUGGCGCACGGGUGAGUAACGCGUGGGUAAUCUGCCCCCGAAUCGGGGAUAACAUUGCGAAAGCGAUGCUAAUACCGGAUAAAAUCUGGUUGGCUUCGGUGAACCGGACCAAAGGUGGUCUCUUUAUAAAAGCUACCGUUUGGAGAUGAGCUCGCGUACCAUUAGCUAGUUGGUGAGGUAAAGGCUCACCAAGGCGACGAUGGUUAGCUGGUCUGAGAGGAUGAUCAGCCACACCGGAACUGGAACACGGUCCGGACUCCUACGGGAGGCAGCAGUGAGGAAUUUUGCGCAAUGGGGGAAACCCUGACGCAGCAACGCCGCGUGAGUGAUGAAGGCUUUCGGGUCGUAAAGCUCUGUCAGGUGGGAAGAACCCACCAAGUGUUAAGACCACUUGGUGCUGACGGUACCACCGAAGGAAGCACCGGCUAACUCCGUGCCAGCAGCCGCGGUAAUACGGGGGGUGCGAGCGUUAUUCGGAAUCAUUGGGCGUAAAGGGCGCGCAGGCGGUUUUGUAAGUCAGAUGUGAAAUCCCGGGGCUUAACCCCGGAAGUGCAUAUGAAACUAUGAGACUUGAGUAUGGGAGAGGGAAGCGGAAUUCCUGGUGUAGCGGUGAAAUGCGUAGAUAUCAGGAGGAACACCGGUGGCGAAGGCGGCUUCCUGGACCAAUACUGACGCUGAGGCGCGAAGGCGUGGGGAGCGAACAGGAUUAGAUACCCUGGUAGUCCACGCAGUAAACGUUGAUCACUAGGUGUAGCGGGUAUUGA
rnacentral:rRNA from 1 species